rnacentral:rRNA from 1 species
GAUGAACGCUGGCGGCGUGCCUAACACAUGCAAGUCGAGCGAGAAAUUUAUGGAAUAAGUCUUCGGACAAGUAAAGUAAAUGGAAAGCGGCGGACGGGUGAGUAACGCGUAGGCAACCUGCCCCAUACAGAGGGAUAGCCUCGAGAAAUCGGGAUUAAAACCUCAUAAUGCCAAAGGAUCACAUGAUUCAUUGGUCAAAGAUUUAUCGGUAUGGGAUGGGCCUGCGUCUGAUUAGCUAGUUGGUGAGGUAACGGCUCACCAAGGCUGCGAUCAGUAGCAGAACUGAGAGGAUCAUCUGCCACAUUGGAACUGAGACACGGUCCAAACUCCUACGGGAGGCAGCAGUGAGGAAUAUUGCACAAUGGGCGAAAGCCUGAUGCAGCAACGCCGCGUGAGCGAAGAAGGCCUUUGGGUCGUAAAGCUCUGUC